rnacentral:lncRNA from 1 species
GGCCUCCCCAACCAUGCAUCCUGCACAGCUUGUGGAACUAGACUCAACUGUGUGGGUUAAGACUUGGCCAUGGCACACCAAGGAUACCCCGUCUCUGCUCUGCAAUGUCUGAGGAUUCAGCUGGAAGACUUGAGAACUGGAGGAUGGGAUCAACUGAAGGCUCAUUAAUUCACUCAUCUAUCCUGGUUCCAGAAGCAGAUGGGCAGACAAGGAGACAAGCAGAGGAAUGUCAAAAUGCUGCGGCAGAAAGAGAGAAGAGGAGGAAUGUCUCAACACUAAGAGUUUAGCCCGGGGCGGUUCAGCUGCCGGAAGGCCAAACUCCAGGAGAAGCCCAUCUUCCUACUCCGUCCUCCCUUCAGGUUCUCCAUCCAUCCUGCUGAGAGCCACCUCCGCCAUUCAGUAAGACCCCCACAUUUAUCCUUCAAGUGCAUGUGUGACCCAGUUCUUCCAGGAUGCUGGACAAGAGCUUGGGAUACAUAAAGCUGUCACACUGGCCCUCUGCCCUUGCUCGCUAACACUCAAGCCAUUCGCAGACGGCUAAAAGAGCACAUUGUAACACGUGCCCACUUGGACUCCUGCACCUGCCCAUCUGCAUGCUUUCCAUCCUGUAAGGGGUUUGAGUGGUGUCAGCAAUCUAACAGACAAGCCACACCCUUGUUUCACGUCCUGUGAGAGGGGUCAGGGAACUCUUCUGUUUCAUCAUUACCCAACUUUGGAACUCAAGAAAGGACUCACAGGGAAAUUCUUGCAGAAUCUCGUGGAAAAUCUCACAUGUAUUUGUGAAAAUACAAUGUGGAUCUGUGAGAUCCCACUUCAACACAGGCCACGGGGCCACCUUCUGCACCCACAUGGGUUGUUUUAAGUCUUCCUUAGUCUCCUUGAGAAUAACAUGAUGCUAUGAUGUUGGCAGGAAUCUUCCACACCUUCCAAAACAUGACAAUAUGGGUCAAGCCCGUGCAGAGACUGUGGCUCCUGCUUUGGGAGUCACCUGGAAUUGUUGAGAGAUUAGCAAAUCCCAGAACCAGGUUUGUUAGAAUUAACUGCUCAACCAGAUUGUAUUGAAAAUGGUCUGAAGUCAAAGACGACAGACGCAAACGGGCUAAAUUGCUCAGUUAAUUCUUCCAUUUCUCUUCCUCCUAGUUGUUCUAGCUUCAGGGAGGACUCAGGAGAGUACUGUUUGAAAACCACUGAUCUAGUUUACACUUUCAUUUUACAGAGAGGAAACUGAGAGCCACAGAGAUUCAAGUGACUCAUCCAAGAUGACCCAAACCCUGGGCACCAGGAAAGUAAUGUGUGUAAAACUAGAGCCAAGUAUAUUGUGGUUUCAAAUACAAGCCUGUUUGGAGCAGAAGCCCGUGGGAUUGCUGCGUUUCAGCCUCAGGGGAUGGCCCGCUGAUGGCCUCGGCCUGUGAAAGGGAGGGGCUUGAAUGGCCCUUUGAUUCAGCCCAAAUCUGGGGGUGGAGGGUGGGGAAGGGGCAGGCCUGUUAUUUGACACUUUCUGUUGGGCUUGGCCCAGGCCUCACUCCUUAUGCAGGCCUCCCUGGAGCCUGCAAGCCCUCUCUGAGGACGCACUGACUUAGCAAGCGCUGAAAUGCAUAACAUUCCUUGCUGCUUAGGAAGUAGACCAGCGAUCCCCAGGGCUCGCGAAUUCCCUGCGCUUUGAGAAUGGUGCUCUUUAUAACGUUCCCCAUCCAAACACACACACAGACACGCUACACACACAUACCCCAAACAUACACACACACGCGCACACACACUCCACACACA